AAGGUAAACACAUUUCAAUCCAUUACGGAUCAAAAUAAGUUUUUCUCAUUUGGGCAAUGACAAAGCAAGAACACUUCAAGUUUAAAAUUGUAUCAAGUGGGAAAAUUAGGCCAUAAGUUAGACCAUUUAAGUUUAAAAUGGUAUUAAGUGGGAAAUUAGGUCAAAUAUUAGACCACUUUAAUUUCAAUAUUGCAUUAAGUGGGAAAAUUAGGUAAUGGUGCUUAAGCGGGAAAAUUUUGUGCUGGUGAUUCAUUCUCAAAGCCUAUAAAUAGGCUUUUCCAUCAAGGUAUCAGGCAUCCUAAAAAAAAAACACCAAUUCACAUUACACAAAUACCUUGAAGCUUUGAAACUCUACGCUCUCAAGCAAAUCCCUAAGGAUCAAGAAAACCCUCUUCGUUCUUCGUCAAAUCCUCCUUCAAGAUCAAGCCCUAACGUCUCUUGAAGAACUUCCACCAAUUCAAGAUCAAGCAUUGACGAUCCUUGAAGAAAGUGUUCAUCGUUCAUCAUCCGUUCAUCCUAAGAUCAAGUCCCAACGACCCUUUGAAUCAACAACAUCAACAAAUCCACACAUUCAUUCUUCAAGAUCAAGCCCAAAAGCUCUUGAAGAUCUGUUCAUCCUUAAACCUUCAAGAUCAAGCCCAAAAGCCCUUGAAGGAACUUCCCUCAACCUUCAAGAUCAAGCCCCGAGGGCUCUUGAAGAAACUUCCAACAGUUCAUCCAAGAUCAAGCCUCGACGACCCUUGGAUUAACAAAACAUCCACAAAUCAACACCUUACGGAGAUCGAAUCAGAGGAUCAAGUUAUAAAGAGAUUGUAACCCUACAAAUCUAUUAACACCAAAAUCUUUCUUUGUACACGUUCUUGUUUCAAGAAUUUUCAUGUUCACAAAUUUGGCACACCCAGUGGGACAUGUCUCUACCUCUCAUCUCUUUCUCCAUUAAAGGAAAUCAAAGCACACAUUUGAAAAUCAAAUGACAUCAAGGAAGGUUCAAGCGGUUUCCUCAACCAACGCGAAGAACAAGAACAUCAUCGCCGCAAGUGGGGACACCAAGAAGCUUAAACGAGGCCGGAUGAUUGACACCAAGGAUUCAAGAUAAAAACCCUCGAUAUGCACGCCUUCUUCUUUGUAUUUGGUCGAACAGAGUCUACCACCUCCUAAGAUACUUCGAAAGACCACGACUUAAUAUGCAUGAAGUUGUCUUUCGCGAGAAGAGCAAGCGUCUUAGGACCAGUCAGUGGCACGUUCACUUCAACGUUGUUCCCUUAUCUUGCGAAUCGCCGUCCUUCGCAAGAAUGGUAAUGGUGUUGCUUUUAAAACACUUGAAAAAUACCAUGACUGCAAGAAAAAAAAAUCAGCCACAAAACUUGAGUAGCACGGCAAAUAGGGCAGCUACAGGGCGGUCCUUCAAAGCACGCUACACUGGCAAAGAAAACCAAAAUGCUACGCAAUCGCACUACACAGCAAAAUCCCGCUGCAGUAUUUUGCACAGCACCACGUGGUCUGCGACAAGCUCCAAGCUCCAAGCUCCAAGCUCCAAAGUUCACCAAUCCGACAAGCAACAAAGUAGAGAAUAACGUUCACAGCAGAAGAAGGUUAUGUCUAUGGUCAUUUUAUAGGCUCAACUCGUCCGUCCAAGUGAAGAAAAGAAAAGAAAAAAAAAUAUAAAUAUAAUAAUAUAAUAUAAUAAAAAAAAUUUUGAGUGCUUCAUGCACCAUGUUAAAGAAAACAUAAAAUAUAUGUAUAUAUUAUUAAAAAAAUUUGGGUGCUUCUGGAACCAUGCAAAGAAAAUAAUAAAAAAAUAACAAAAAAAAAAAUAUAUAUAUAAAAGGUCUUCAGUGCAUCAGGCACCAUCUUAAAAGAAUAAAAAAAAUAUACAAAAGGUUUUUUCUUUUGGUGCUUCACGCACCAUGAGAAUAAAAAAAUACAACAACAACAACAACAAAGCCUUUUCCCACUAAGUGGGGUCGGCUAUAUGAAUCCUAGAACGCCAUUGCGCUCGGUUUUGUGUCAUGUCCUCCGUUAGAUCCAAGUACUCAAGUCUUUUCUUAGGGUCUCUUCCAAAGUUUUCCUAGGUCUUCCUCUACCCCUUCGGCCCUGAACCUCUGUCCCGUAGUCACAUUUUCGAACCGGAGCAUCAGUAGGCCUUCUUUGCACAAGUCCAAACCACCGGAACCGAUUUUCUCUCAUAUUUCCUUCAAUUUUGGCUACUCCUACUUUACCUCGAAUAACCUCAUUCCCAAUCUUAUCCUUUCUCGUGUGCCCAUACAUCCCACAAAGCAUCCUCAUCUCCGCUACACCCAUUUUGUGUACGUUGAUGCUUCACUGCCCAACAUUCUGUGCCAUACAACAUCGCUGGCCUUAUUGCCGUCCUAUAAAAUUUUCCCUUGAACUUCAGUGGCCUACGACGGUCACACAACACGCCGGAUGCACUCUUACACUUCAUCCAUCCAGCUUGUAUUCUAUGGUUGAGAUCUCCAUCUAAUUCUCCGUUCUCUUGCAAGAUAGAUCCUAGGUAGCGAAAACGGUCACUUUUUGUGAUCUUCGCUAGAUUGCUCCGGUCAUUAGUGUGGAUAAGUAUAUAAAUGGAUAGAGAUAGGAAAGCAAACACAAGAUGUACGUGGUUCACCCAGAUUGGCUACGUCCACGGAAUAGAGGAGUUCUCAUUAAUUGUGAAGGGUUUACACAAAAGCAAACACAAGAUGUACGUGGUUCACCCAGAUUGGCUACGUCCACAGAAUAGAGGAGUUCUCAUUAAUUGUGAAGGGUUUACACAAGUACAUAGGUUCAAGCUCUCCUUUAGUGAGUACAAGUGAAUGAUUUAGUACAAAUGACAUUAGGAAAUAUUGUGGGAGAAUGAUCUCGUAGCCACGAAACUUCUAAGUACCGGAGUGUGGUAUCGUCUUGACUUGCCUUAUCUGUCUCAUAGGUAGAUGUGGCAUCUUCUCUGGAAGUACUCUUCCUCCAUCCAGGGGUGGUAUCUGUAACUGGUGGAGAUGCACAAGGUAAUGUAUCAAUUUCACUUGAAGCUUACUUGUAGUUUCAUGCUUGGUCAAGCGCGAUACAAACCAUGUAGUAGGAGUCCCCCAAGUCGCCGAGCUAGGGGAUCUGCUGAAAGAUGUGACAGACAAGGUAAGCAAUCAGAGUUCCGGCUGAUUGUUCACAUUCUCCCUAUCUUGCAGGCAGCAUGAAGGAUAAAGAGAAGAAAAAUGAGGAGAGAUGAUAUGGGAUACUUUUGCUUUUGAAGAAGUUCCACAGGCUUAUUCUUGAACUGGGCUGGAGGGUUUUCUGGUUUCCUCCAGAGUAUAAGGCCGACUGAAGAAUUUGAGGGUCAAAACAAGUCCAUCAAAUCUAUAGUACGUUCGACCCUGCUGAUAUGGGAUACUUUUGCUUUUGACAGAGUAGUGGAUGUAUCAGCACGUGUGCUGUUACGCUUGUCUCCACAUGCUUCCUUGUAUCCUUCUCACUUGCCCUAUUUGUUCCUCAGGCAGAUGCGGUAUCUUCCCUGGAAGCAUAAGAUGUUGAAGAUGAGUACUCGAGAGCAAUGCCAGGUAAGUAAUCAGGUAAGGGUUCCAGGCAGUUAGUUCCUGGCUGGAAGCUUGAUUCCAAGUGCUGACUGAUUGCUCUCUUUCUCCUUGUCUUGCAGGUAAGAACAAGGCCAAAGGAAAAGACAGGGAAAAAAGCAUGAUAUGGGAUACUCUUGCUUUUAACCCUGAUGAUAUGAGAUAUUCUUGCUCUAGUAUAGCUUGUUUACAGAGGUAUUAUCGGGGGGAAAAGAAGCUGAAUAUUUCGAAAGGCUUCGUUGGGAGUGCCCUCUCAGAUAAGAGAAAGGGUUGAGCAUUUUUGCAGGUCUGCCUGUCCGUUAGGGAUGGAGGUCGACAUAUAUAGGAGUCUCCCUAACAUCAAGUAAUAAUGCUAUUCCUUUACCCUGCUUGGUUAUAGCACGGUAGUGGGAGCUGUCAGCUUCACAUGUUUUAACUCUGUCAGAGCACUUUGAAAAAGUGGUCUGUGGUAUCUGGAAAGCUGAUGUUGCGUGUGAAGAUUACAGACAAGCUUUAUCCAAGGAGAUCCAGCUCUUGAAGUUGGGAAAGUGGUGCCUCUUCGAUUUUCGAACAAGCAAUCCUGUCGGGGAUCUGGCUCUCGAGAUUCGAAGAACGAUGCCUCUUCGAUUUUUGAGAAAGCAAUCCUGCUGGGGGUCUGGCUCUCGAGAUUCGAAGAGCGGUGUCUCUUCGAUUUUUGAGAAAGUAAUCAUGUUGGGAGUCUGACUCUCGAGAUUCGGAGGGCGGAGCCUCUUCGAUUUUGGAGCAAGCAAUCUUGUUGGGAGUGUUUUCUCGAAUGUGAGUAAAGGUUGGACGUGUUUGUUAGUCUACCUUGCCACGAAGCACAGAGGUUGACACACAGGGACUUUCCAAUUAUCCAGCAGUGGUACUGUUCCUUUACCCUCUCUUCGAUUUUUGAGAAAGUAAUCAUGUUGGGAGUCUGGCUCUCGAGAUUCGGCGGGCGGUGCCUCUUCGAUUUUGGAGCAAGCAAUCUUGUUGGGAGUGUUUUCUCGAAUGUGAGUAAAGGUUGGGCAUGUUUGCUAGUCUACCUUGCCACGAAGCACAAAGGUUGACACACAGGGACUUUCCAAUUAUCCAGCAGUGGUACCGUUCCUUUACCCUCUCUUCGAUUUUUGAGAAAGUAAUCAUGUUGGGAGUCUGGCUCUCGAGAUUCGGAGGGCGGUGCCUCUUCGAUUUUGGAGCAAGCAAUCUUGUUGGGAGUGUUUUCUCGAAUGUGAGUACAGGUUGGGCAUGUUUGCUAGUCUACCUUGCCACGAAGCACAGAGGUUGACACACCGGGACUUUCCAAUUAUCCAGCAGUGGUACUGUUCCUUUACCCUUGUGGGUAAUAAUAUGGUAGCUAGACCUUCAAAAUUUAUGUGUUUAAACUUUGUUAGUGUUGUUUCUUUGCAAUUCUUUUACCCUUCUAGGUCAGAGCGAUGUAGUGGUAGCUGCAAGCUUCACGUGUCUCAACUUUGUCAGAGAACUUUGGCAAAGUUAUCUGUGGUACCCAUGAGCUACUGUUGCGUGUGGGAAGUGGGUGAUUGAACAGUACGAUUCAUGUGCUUUCUACUUCGUCAGAAAUCUUCGACAGAAUGCCCAUAAUUUCCGCAAAGCUGAGUGUGCGUGUGACAGGUGCUGACAAGGCUGGAAAAGUAGGUGCCUCUUCGAUUUCUGAGAUCGGCCCUCGUGGUCUCUGAGCAUCCCAGCUUUUGAGAAAGCAAGCCUCUUCGAUUUUUGAGAUCGGCCUUCGUGGUCUUUGAGCAGCCCAGCUUUUGAGAAAGCAAACGCCUCUUCGAUUUCUGAGAUCGACCCUCGUGGUCUCUGAGCAGCCCAGCUUUUGAGAAAGCAAACGCCUCUUCGAUUUCUGAGCAGGCGCCUCUUCGAUUUCUGAAGCUUCGUCGAGUACAGAUUUUUAUAGGGGCUGACAUUAAGUUCCAAAGCACACUUGAAUAUCCACCAGUAGAACUCCAUUCUUGCACUUCUAAGAUACUCUGACUUUGAUUGAUUUCCUCUUUGACUUGACUCUCGACUUCUCUUUCUCUUCAACACCUUUGAAAAUGUCUGGCCCCUCCGACCGUCGUUUUAACUUGAACCUUGUUGAAGAGGCAGCCCCGCCUUCUCCAGACAACAUAUGGCGCCCAUCCUUCGUCUCCCUACUGGUCCUCUUACCGUUGGGGAUUCCGUGAUGAAGAAUGAUAUGACCGCUGCGGUAGUGGCCAGGAACCUUCUCACUCCCAAAGAUAACAGACUACUUUCCAAACGGUCUGAUGAGUUGGCUGUUAAGGAUUCUCUGGCUCUCAGUGUUCAGUGUGCAGGUUCUGUGUCUAAUAUGGCCCAACGCCUAUUUGCUCGAACCCGCCAAGUUGAAUCAUUGGCGGCUGAAGUGAUGAGUCUCAAACAGGAGAUUAGAGGGCUCAAGCAUGAGAAUAAACAGUUGCACCGGCUCGCACAUGACUAUGCUACAAACAUGAAGAGGAAGCUUGACCAGAUGAAGGAAUCUGAUGGUCAGGUUUUACUUGAUCAUCAGAGAUUUGUGGGUUUGUUCCAAAGGCAUUUAUUGCCUUCGUCUUCUGGAGCUGUACCGCGUAAUGAAGCUCCAAAUGAUCAACCUCUGAUGCCUCCUCCUUCUAGGGUUUGUGUCCAGUACUGAGGCUCCGAAUGAUCCUCCUCCGGUGCCUUCUCUUUCUGGGGCUCUACCGCCUGCUGAGACUUCUCCUAAGCAACCUUUGUGAAGGCUCUCCUCUUGUUUGUUUAUUUUGACUCAAGUAUAUGUACAUAUUUGUAACUUAUCGGGGAUAUCAAUAAAUAAGUUUUCCUUCAUUUCAACGUAUUGUGUUAAAUACACCAAAGCCUUCUUCGCUAAGUUCUUUGAAUUUUCUUUUGUUGAAGCUUGUAUGUUGAAGCUUUGUGAGUGGAGCAUAUAGGUUGAGGUAGUGUUCCCUUAAUUUCCCGAGUGAGGAAAACUUCGUGGUUGGAGACUUGGAAAAUCCAAGUCACUGAGUGGGAUCGGCUAUAUGAAUCUUAGAACGCCAUUGUAAGUUUACAUAAUGCUUCAAUCAGUCUUCCUAAAAAUAUGCACUGAUUGGUCAAGGCGCAGAGAAGGAAAAAAAAAAAAAGUACCACAUCUUUGUUAAAAUGAAAUAAAACUCAUUUAUUAUUUCUCUAAAAAUUUACAUAAAUGAACAUUUUUACAUGAGUCCAAAAAAAAAAAAAAAACAAAACAAACAAACAAUAGGGAGCCUUCAUAAAGUUUGAUCAGGUGCCGCCUCAUCACUCGGUGGAACGUCAGGAAGAAGAGGCACCGGAGGUCGACUGUUUGGAGCCUCAACACUCGGAGGUCGAUUCUUGCAGUCAUGGUAUUUUUCAAGUGUUUUAAGAGCAACACUAAAACCAUUCUUGCGAAGGACGGCGAUUCGCAAGAUAAGGGAACAACGUUGAAGCUUUAUGCGCCACUGACUGGUCCUAAGGCGCUUGCUCUUCUCGCGAAAGACAACUCUAUGCAUAUUAAGUCGUGGUCUUCCGAAGUAUCUUGGGAGGUGGUAGACUUUGUUCGACCAAAUACGAAGAAGAAGUGUGCAUAUCGAGGGUUCUUAUCUUGAAUCCUUCGCACCAUGCUCGUGACAAUCAUCCGGCCUUGUUUAAGCUUCUUGGUGAUCACAUCCGCAGUGGAGCUAUGGCUUGGAAUGGUACCCUGUCGACUACUGGAGAAGCCGUCUUUGAUGAGUUUUAUUGGGAGUGGCUUGAAGAUGUCUUAAGCCGAUCUGAAGAUGUGCUUACUAACGUGGGCCUUUGCCUUCGCCCAUGAGCGGUAGGUCUCGGGUUCGAGACUUGGGAGCAGCCUCUCCAUAAAUGGGGGUAAGGCUAGCCGACAUUCACCUCUCACAGACCCUGCUUAAAGCGGGAGCCUUGUGCACUGGGUACGACCUUUAUGAUCGCCAUCCUUCCGUCCUUCGUGCGUUCUUUGAGCAUUGGUGAUCGGCGACCAACACACUUCACACGACGCAAAUGGAGAUGUCAAUUUCACUUUGGGAUAUUCACAGGAUAGGAGGCUUGCCGAUCCAAGGUAAGUUUUACGACGAGAUCGUUCCUAGCACGGAGGAACUCUCUUUGCAAUAGCCGAGGAUUGCCUGCGAGUUGCCGCUGUUUGUUUUGGGCGUAUCACAAGCUUUUUCAGGAUGCUCAAGGUAAAUCAGGCGUGAGGAUUUCCUCAUGGAUCCGAUUUUGGUGCUGGGAGACCGUGAGGUAUAAGAAGCCUUUGAAGAAUACUGGCUGUAACAAGACCACUAAGCUAAAGGGAGACUCAGACCCGUCCGGUGUUAUUGGCUCAACCAAGCGCCGCUCUUCUGACGAGGUGAGAGCGUUUGAGGAUCUUGGCAUAACAUCAGAGCAUGUGGAUGAGUCUUACCUAGCUGCUUUCUUAGCUUGUUGGCUUUGUAAGUUUGUUUUCCCAACAGGCGACGUCAACUUAGUUCGUCCUGGAGUUUUCAAAGUUGCUACCAAGAUGGCUGCAGGUGAGUCUUUUAGCCUUGCUAUUCCGGUCUUAACCAACAUUUAUAAUGACUUGAGCAUUGUUUCGAACUCGGCAAGCACUGAAGAUCGUGAUGCGGUGCUUCCUUACCACUAUGUGUAUGGUUGGUUGGGUGAAUACUUUGGCACUCAUUUUUCUUUGUCGACUCUAGACAAGUCAAGGCCUUCUUUAUCGACUGCAGCCAAGCUGGGGCCUUUGAUGACGAAAUAUUCUGGCGUGCUCUCCGCAAAGAGCCUUGAUGAUUUGCAGGUGCGAGCGCUGUUUAAAAGUUGUGAAGAUUUGAGGAUUAACCCCCUAGCGAGAGCUAGCUCGGUGCGGCUAGGCAUCGUAGACAAUUCGCCUCUCUGCUUCUCAAACUUGUCUUAUCUUAUAAGUCUUCACUCGGGGUUUGUUUCUUUGCCUUCUUGGAUUAUGAUGUGGAAGACAUCUUGGACUUCCUCUUCAGUGCCGUCAUGUUGGGCUUGUUGGCAUGAAGAUUGUCCAGUGUGGAUGAUGGUACGCCUUCUUACUUUCAGUGGUCCAUUUGUGUCAACCUCCAAGAUUACUUGGCGCUUCAUCCUUAAAGGAAUUGAGCUUCGAAUAUCGCAUUUUUCUGCUAGCCUGUCGAGCUUUUCUUCCUUUGACGUUGUCUCCCUAUUUCUAGAAAACUUCUUGUUGUCUUCAAGUCGUUCCAAAGCUGACCGACGAGGAGGAGAGCUAGUCGUGUUGCUUUGCUUCUUAGGUUUUGACGAGGAGGAGAGCAAAGCAACAUGGCUAGCUCUCUUCCUUGUCGGUCAGCUUUGGAACGACUUGAAGAUAACAAGAAUUUUUCUAGAAAUAGGGAGACAACGUCAAAGGAAGAAAAGCUCGACAGGCUAGCAGAAAAAGGCGAUAUUCAAAGCUCAAUUCUUUCGAGGAUGAAAUGCCAAACAAUCUUGGAGGUUGACACAAAUGGACCACUGAAAGUAAGAAGGCGCACCAUCAUCCACACUGGACAAUCUUCAUGCCAACAAGCCCAAGAGGACGGCACUGAAGAGGAAGUCCAAGAUGUCUUCCACAUCACAAUCCAAGAAGGCAAAGAAACAAACCCCGAGCGAAGACUUAUAAGAUAAGACAAGUUUGAGAAGCGGAGAUGUGAAUUGUCUACGAUGCCUUGCUGCACCGAGCCAGCUCUCGCUAAGGGGUCCAUCCUCAAAUCUUCACAACUUUUAAACAACGCUCGUAUCUGCAAAUCAUCAAGGCUUUUUGCGGAGAGUGAUAGAAGCAUAUUUAUGCGACUUAGUUAACAUGUUUUCUUGCACUUACUUAGUUAGUUAUUGCUUAUAAGAGUAUUUUAAGCCAUUUUCGUAUGUUGGUAGGUCCUAAUAACAAAGUUGGCAAGAAAAGUGCAUUUUGGAGCAAUUUUGGGCUGAAAUGGAUUGCAUGCACUUGGAGACAUGAGGAUGGACGUUUUGGGAAGAUUAGAAUUUAGCAUAUGUGUGUGCAAGUGUGUGACCUACAACUAACAAACAUCAUAGCUGCCAUGUGAUGGAGACCAUGUAUUGAUUGUGGCUGAUAUGAUGAAGAUGUGUGUGUGCAAAUGCAAAAGUAAACAAUGACAGCAUAAACACAUGGAAACCCACGGCAAGGACAGGUUGGAGGGCAGCAAAUGGGUGAUUUGUGGCUGAAAUAAUGAAGAGCAUGUGUGUGUGCAAGUGUGACAGCUUGUGGAUGUGGAAAUAAUGAUAACAUGACAACAAAGACACAUGCAAAGAGGCAUUGAGCACCAUCCCUCACACUUGUGCAGCAGUAACCCUUCAUCAUUACUUAACAUUUAUGCCACAAGAACAUGGAGACAACAUCAUACAAGGCAUGUGCAAAAGAGAAACAUGGACAUCCAACAAAUUCGUCAAAACUACCUGUGCAGAUUAGCUGACUUUGGAAGCAUGUUACGAACAGCUCAGAAUAAAUGAGAGAAUGAGCCUUAUAUGCUUGGAAAGCUACGGAUGUCUAUUUUCUGGGGCAAUUUACGGAUUGUUAAUAUCAUUUUUCUAGAAGAAGUUAUGGGCAUUGUAGCAUUGAAAGGUUCAAAAAAGGGCUAAGCAGAUUAGGCUAAUAAAAUGAGAAAGUAAAUGCACUUGUUUUGUGUUUUGCUUUGUCAUCAACACUCAGCAUCAAAUGGGGUUAUGAUUGCACUCAUUUGGCUUUGGAGCAAGUGGAAAUGCACAACUAGAAAGAGAAGACACACCCACAUGCAAAGGAAAGGAGAAACAUGGGCAGAAAAUGGGUGGAUUGGUGGCUGAAAUGAUGAAGCAUGUGUGUGCAAAAGAAAAGGAGAAACAUGGACAGCACACACCCAUGCAAUCUGCACAUGCAAAGGAAAUAGAGUGGUCCUCUCCCUAGCCUAUAAACAUCCACCACCCCCUUCCAAAAGAACACCAUCUUGAUCCACAAUUGCUAAAUUUACAAACACAAGUCCCUUGCCGUGAGCUCCAUUCCAUUUCAUCCAUCUUCAUCCAUAUACACACUACAUUUCACAAACACAAAUACAUUUUCUCCCUUUGCCACGUUCUCCAUCCAAUCUAAACCUAUCCAUGAUCCUUCCAUUCAUCCAUAAACUCCAUUUCCUUUGCAUGGGUGUAUGCUGUCCAUGUUUCUCCUAUUCUUUUGCACACACAUGCUUCAUCAUUUCAGCCACCAAUCCACCCAUUUUCUGCCCAUGUUUCUCAUUUCCUUUGCAUGUGGGUGUGUCUUCUCUUUCUAGCUGUGCAUUUCCACUUGCUCCAAAGCCAAAUGAGUGCAAUCAUAACCCCAUUUGAUGCUGAGUGUUGAUGACAAAGCAAAACACAAAACAAGUGCAUUUACUUUCUCAUUUUAUUAGCCUAAUCUGCUUAGCCCUUUUUUGAACCUUUCAAUGCUACAAUGCCCAUAACUUCUUCUAGAAAAAUGAUAUUAACAAUCCGUAAAUUUCUCCAGAAAAUAGACCUCCGUAGUUUUCCAAGCAUAUAAGGCUCAUUCUCUCAUUCAUUCUGAGCUGUUCGUAACAUGCUUCUAAAGUCAACUAAUCUGCACAGGCAGUUUUGACGAAUUUGUUGGCUGUCUAUGUUUCUCUUUUGCACAUGCCUUGUAUGAUGUUGUCUCCAUAUUCUUGUGGCAGAAAUGUUAAGUAAUGAUGAAGGGUUGCUGCUGCACAAGUGUGAAGGAUGGUGCUCAAGGUCUCUUUGCAUGCGUCUUUGUUGUCAUGUUAUCAUUAUUUCCACAUCCACAAGCUGUCACACUUAAACACACAUGCUCUUCAUUAUUUCAGCCACAAAUCACCCAUUUGCUACCCUCCAACCUAUCCUUGCCGUGGGUUUCCAUGUGUUUGUGCUGUCAUUGUUUACUUUUGCAUUUGCACACACACAUCUUCAUCAUAUCAGCCACAAUCAACACAUGUUCUCCAUCACAUGGCAACUAUGAUGUUUGUUAGUUGUAGGUCACACACUUGCACACACAUAUGUUGAAUUUUAAUCUUCCCAAAACGUCAAUCCUCAUGUCUCCAAGUGCAUGCAAUCUAUUUCAGCCCAAAAUGCACUUUUCUUGCCAACUUUGUUAUUAGGACCUACCAACAUACGAAAAUGGCUUAAAACACUCUUAUAAGCAAUAACUAACUAAAUAAGUGCAAGAAAACAUGUUAACUAAGUCGCAUAAGUAUACUCCUAUCAGAGAGCACGCCAUAAUAUUUUGUCAUCAAAGGCCCCAGCUUGGCUGCAAUCGAUGAAGAAAGCCUUGACUUGUCUAGAGUCGACAAAGAAAAAUGAGUGCCAAAGUAUUCACCCAACCAACCAUACACAUAGUGGUAAGGAAGCACUGCAGCACGAUCUUCAGUGCUUGCCAAGUUCGAAACAAUGCUCAAGCCAUUAUAAAUGUUGGUUAAGACCAGAAUAGCAAGGCUAAAAGACUCACUUGCAGCCGUCUUGGUAGCAACUUUGAAAACUCCAGGACGAACUAAGUUGACGUCGCCUGUUGGGAAAACAAACUUACAAAGCCAACAAGCUAAGAAAGCAGCUAGGUAAGACUCCUCCACAUGCUCUGAUGCUAUGCCAAGAUUCUCAAACGCUCUCAACUCGUCAGAAGAGCAGCGCCUGGUUGAGCCAAUAACACCGGACGGGUCUGAUUCUCCCUUUGGCCUAGUGGUCUUGUUAUGGCCACUAUUCUUCAAAUGCUUCUUAUUCCUCACGGCCUCUUUGUACCGAAAUCGGAUCCAUGAGGAAAUUCUCACACCUGAUUUACCUUGAGCAUCCUGAAAAAACUUGUGAUACGCCCAAAACAAACAACGGCAACUCGCAGGCAAUCCUCAGCUAUUGCAAAGAGAAAGUUCCUCCCCGCUGGGAACGACCUCGUCGUAAAACUUACCUUUGAUCGGCAUGCCUCCUAUCCUGUGAAGAUCCCAAAGUGAAAUUGACAUCUCCCCUUGCGUCGUGUGAAGUGUGUUGGUCGUCGAACACCAAUGCUAAAAGAAUUCACGAUGGACGGAAGGAUGGCGAUCAUAACUAAACAAAGAUGCGUACACAGCGUGGUAAAGGCCCACGUUAGUAAGCACAUAUUUAGAUCGGCUUAUGACAUCUUCAAGCCACUCCCAAUAAAACUCAUCAAAGACGGCCUCUUCAGUAAUCGACAUGGUACGAUUCCAAGCCAUACCUCCGCUACGGAUGUGAUCACCAAGAAGCUUAAACGAGGCCGGAUGAUUGUCACGAGCAUGGUGUGAAGGAUUCAAGAUAAGAACCCUCGAUAUGCACGGCUUCUUCUUCGUAUUUGGUUGAACAGAGUCUACCACCUUCCAAGAUACUUCGGAAGACCACGACUUGAUAUGCAUGGAGUUGUCUUUCGCGAGAAGAGCAAGCGCCUUAGGACCAGUCAGUGGCACGUAAAGCUUCAACGUUGUUCCCUUAUCUUGCGAAUCGCCGUCCUUCGCAAGAAUGGUGAUGGUGUUGCUCUUAAAACACUUGAAAAAUACCAUGACUGCAAGAAAAAAAAAAUCAGCCACAAAACUUGAGCGGCACGGCAAAUAGGGCAGCUACAGAGCGGUCCUUCAAAGCACGCUACACUGGCAAAGAAAACCAAAAUGCUACGCAAUCGCACUACACAACAAAAUCCCGCUGCAGUCUUUUGCACAACACCACGUGGUCUGCUCCAAGCUCCAAAGUUCACCAGUCCGACAAGCAGCAAAGCACAGAAGAACGUUCACAGCAGAAGGAAGUUAUGUCUAUGGUCAUUUUGUAGGCUCAACUCGUCCGUCCAAAUGAAGAAAAGAAAAGAAAGAAAUAUAUAUGAUAAUAAUAUAAUAAAAAAAAAAUUUGGGUGCUUCAUGCACCAUGUUAAAGAAAACAUAAAAUAUAUGUAUAUAUUAUUAAAAAAUUUCGGUGCUUGCAGCACCAUGCAAAGAAAAUAAUAACAAAAUAACAAAAAAAAUAAAUAUAUAUCAGGUCUUCGAUGCAUCAGGCACCAUCUUAAAAGAAUAAAAAAAAUAUACAAAAGGUUUUUUUGUUUUGGUGCUUCAAGCACCAUGAGAAUAAAAAAAUAAAAAGAAAAAAAAUAUUUAUAAUAAAAAAUAAAGGCAAUUGGAAUGGUGCUGUGAGAGUUUGUGUAUAUAAAUAUUAUAUAUGCAACAAAGUAGCAGCAGGUCAUGCAGAGGCUGUUUAAUGCUUCAAUCAGUCUUCCUAAAAAUAUGCAUUGAUUGGUCAAGGCGCAGAGAAGAAAAAAAAAAGUACCACAUCUUAGUUAAAAUGAAAUAAAACUCAUUUAUUAUUUCUCUAAAAAUUUACAUAAAUGAACAUUUUUACAUGAGUCCAAAAAAUAAAAUAAAAUAAAAUAAAAUGAACAAACAAUAGGGAGCCAUCACAAAGUUUGAUCAGGUGCCGCCUCAUCACUCGGCGGAGCGCCAGGAAGAAGAGGCGCUGGAGGUUGAUUGUUUGGAGCCUCAACACUCGGUAAAACUCUAGAGGACGAAGGCAAUAGGUGCCUCUGGAGUAAAGCCACAAACAUCUGAUGGUCAUUCUGAAUCCAACUUUCGGAUUCCUGCAGCUGGUCAAUCUUUCUCUUCAUGCUCGUCGAGUAACUAUUGGCAAGCAUGUGCAACUCUUUGUUUUCAUGCUUAAGCCCUCUAAUCUCUUGCUUAAGACUUGCCACCUCAACCAUCAGUGACUCCACUUGACGGGUUCGAGCAAGAAGGCGUUGGCCCGUAUUUGAUACGAAGCCCGCACACUGAACACUGAAAGCCAGAGAGUCCUGAACAGCUAGCUCAUCAGACCGUUUGGAAAUGAUCCUACUAUCCUUGGGGGUGAAGAUUUCUAGCAACCACAAAAGGAGGGAAAUUCCUAACAGGUAGCAACUCUCUAAGUGUGUUUUUGAACACGAUUAAUGCCUCUAUAAAAAGAAGGGGCAACAGGGCCUGUUCAGAAAUCGAAGAGGCAACGUGGUUGUUCAGAGAUCGAAGAGGCACCGCUCUCGGAAUUUCAAAGACCGGCUUUUCCGGAUUUGUCGCCACUCUUCACACGCAACCUUAACUUUGCAGAAAGCACAUGCAACUUUGUCAAAGAUAUCUGACAAAGUCGAAAACGCAUGAAUCUUACUGUUUCAAUUACCCAACGGUUGCCGAUAAGAGUAAAGGAAUAGUGCCACUACUGGCUGUUGGGAAAUUCCUAUAUAUGUCGACCUUCCUCCUCCAUAGUAAGGCAGACCUGCAAAAAAUGCCCAACCCUUCCUCACUUCCGAGAGUGUACUCCCAUCAGAGCCUCUCGAAAUACUCAAUUUUCUUCCUAUCCAGGAAUACCUUGUCAAACAAAUGACACCAAUGCAAAAGUAUCUCAUAUCAUCAGGGUAGAAAGCAAGAGUAUCUCAUAUCAUGCAAUCUCCCUGUUCUUUCCUUUGUCAUUGUUCUUACCUGCAAAGACAAAGAUAAAGAAAGCAAUAUGUCGGAACCUCCACUCAAACUUCUGAUCUGAAACUGAUUGCCUGGAACCCUUCCCUGAUUGCUUACCUAGCACUGCUCUCGAAGUACCCAUUGUUUCAACAUCUUGUGCUUCCAGAGAAGAUACCACAUCUGUCUGAAGAACAUGUAAAGCAAGUGAAAAUGAUACAUUGAAGCAUAUGGAGACAAGCACAACAAAGUAUGUGCCGAUUCAUCCGCUACUUCUUCAAAAUCAAAAGUAUCUCAUAUCAUCAGGGUUGCGAUCACUCUGGGUUGGGUGGACUAGUUUUGACCCUCAAAUUCUUGGGUCGACUCGCUAGGCGUUAUGAGCUGCACGUGCCGAUUCACCACCCUUGAAUCAAAUCCUUAAAGAUUUGAUCUCCGUAAGAUGUUGAUUUGUGGAUGUUUUGUUGAUCAAGGGCCGUCGAGGCUUGAUCUUGGAUGAACUGUUAGAAGUUUCUUCAAGAGCUCUCGGGGCUUGAUCUUGAAGGGCCGUUAGGGCUUGAUCUUGAAGGAGGAUUUGACGAAUAACUAAGAGGGCUUUCUUGAUCCUUCGGGAUUUGCUUGAGUGCUUUAGAGUUUCGAAGCUUCAGGGUGUUUGUAUGAUGUGAAUUGGUGUUUUUUUUAGGAUGUCUGAUACCUUGAUGGAGAAGCCCAUUUAUAGGCUUUGAGAAUGAAUCACCACCACAAAAUUUUCCCACUUAAGCACCAUUACCUAAUUUUCCCACUUAAUGCAAUAUUGAAAUUGAAGUGGUCUAACAUUUGGCCUAAUUUCCCACUUAAUACCAUUUUAAACUUAAAGUGGUCUAACUUAUGGUCUAAUUUUCCCGCUUGAUACAAUUUUAAACUUGAAGUGUGCUUGCUUUGUCAGUGCCCAAAUGAGAAAAACUUGUUUUGAUCUGUAAUGGAUUGAAAUGUGCUUACCUUGUCAUUGCCCAAAAUGAGAAGAAAAACUUGUUUUCAUCCAUAAUGGAUUGAAGUGUGCUUGCCUUGUCAUUGCCCAAACAUGAGAAGAAAAACUUGUUUAAUCCUCCAAGGAUGUUAAACAAAUCCAGUUCAAGAUUAAGUUUGUGGAAAGUAAAUUCAAACCCUUGGAGGAAACCAGAAAACCCUCCAGUUCAAGAUUAAGCUUGUGGAAAAUCAACAAUUGGAGAAAACCCUCCAACCCAAUUCAAGAUCAAGCCUCGACGGCCCUUGGAUUGACAUCUACAUUAAGGUACUUCAAAACGCAUCUUCUACACGUGACAAACACAUGUAUACGACACGCCUUGAAGUGGAGGCAUUUGUAGACAAUGAAAUUUCCGUAAAUAAAUCUUCACCAACGCAUUAAAGUUUCGACGUGUCACGGCAUACAUGGGAUGCGCCACGUGUCACACAAUUGUACACAUGGCAUGUGACUCAACAAAUUGGAAGAAAUACCCUUGGAGGAUUAAACAAGUUUUUCUUCUCAUGUUUGGGCAAUGACAAGGCAAGCACACUUCAAUUCAUUAUGGAUGAAAAUAAGUUUUUCUUCUCAUUUUGGACAAUGACAAGGUAAACACAUUUCAAUCCAUUACGGAUCAAAACAAGUUUUUCUCUUUUGGGCAAUGACAAAGCAAGCACAUUUCAAGUUUAAAAUUGUAUCAAGUGGGAAAAUUAGGCCAUAAGUUAGACCACUUUAAGUUUAAAAUGGUAUUAAGUGGGAAAUUAGGUCAAAUGUUAGACCACUUUAAUUUUAAUAUUGCAUUAAGUGGGAAAAUUAGGUAAUGGUGGUUAAGUGGGAAAAUUUUGUGCUGGUGAUUCAUUUUCAAAGCCUAUAAAUAGGCUUCUCCAUCAAGGUAUCAGGCAUCCUAAAAAAAACACCAAUUCACAUCACACAAACACCUUGAAGCUUUGAAACUCCAACGCUCUCAAGCAAAUCCCAAAGGAUCAAGAAAACCCUCUUCGUUCUUCGUCAAAUCCUCCUUCAAGAUCAAGCCCUAACGGCUCUUGAAGAACUACCACCAAUUCAAGAUCAAGCCUCGACGACCCUUGAAAGUGUUCAUUGUUCAUCCUAAGAUCAAGCCCCAACGGCCCUUUGGAUCAACAACAUCAACAAAUCCACAUAUCCAUUCUUCAAGAUCAAGCCCAAAAGCUCUUGAAGAUCUGUUCAUCCUCAAACCUUCAAGAUCAAGCCUAAAAGCCCUUGAAGGAACUUCCCUCAACCUUCAAGAUCAAGCCCGAGGGCUCUUGAAGAAACUUCCCUCAACCUUCAAGAUCAAGCCCGAGGGCUCUUGAAAAAACUUCCAACAGUUCAUCCAAGAUCAAGCCUCGACGGCCCUUGGAUCAACAAAACAUCCACAAAUCAACACCUUAUGGAGAUCGAAUCAGAGGAUCAAGUUAUAAAGAGAUUGUAACCCUACAAAUCUAUUAACACCAAAAUCUUUCUUUGUACACGUUCUUGUUUCAAGAAUUUUCGUGUUCACAAAUUUGGCACACCCAGUGGGACAGGUCUCUACCUCUCAUCUCUUUCUCCAUUCAAGGAAAUCAAAGCACACAUUUGAAAAUCAAAUGACAUCAAGGAAGGUUCAAGCGGUUCUCGCAACCAACGCGAAGAACAAGAACAUCCUCGCCGCAAGUGGUGACACCAAGAAGUUUAAACGAGGCCGGAUGAUUGACACCAAGGAUUCAAGAUAAAAACCCUCAAUAUGCACGCCUUCUUCGUAUUUGGUCGAACAGAGUCUACCAUCUCCUAAGAUACUUCGGAAGACCACGACUUAAUAUGCAUGAAGUUGUCUUUCGCGAGAAGAGCAAGCGC
rnacentral:lncRNA from 1 species